UAGGGAAUCUUCGGCAAUGGACGAAAGUCUGACCGAGCAACGCCGCGUGAGUGAAGAAGGUUCUCGGAUCUUAAAACUCUGUUGUUAGAGAAGAACAAGGACGUUAGUAACUGAACGUCCCCUGACGGUAUCUAACCAGAAAGCCACGGCUAACUACGUGCCAGCAGCCGCGGUAAUACGUAGGUGGCAAGCGUUGUCCGGAUUUAUUGGGCGUAAAGCGAGCGCAGGCGGUUUCUUAAGUCUGGUGUGAAAGCCCCCGGCUCAACCGGGGAGGGUCAUUGGAAACUGGGAGACUUGAGUGCAGAAGAGGAGAGUGAAAUUCCAUGUGUAGCGGUGAAAUGCGUAGGUAUAUGGAGGAACACCAGUGGCGAAGGCGGCUCUCUGGUCUGUAACUGACGCUGAGGCUGGAAAGCGUGGGGAGCAAACAGG
rnacentral:rRNA from 1 species